rnacentral:lncRNA from 1 species
AACCGGCUCGCCAUCAUUUUCUUCCGCCUUGAAAAAAAACAUAAAUUAAAGAAACAUUAGAAAUUAGAAGAAAUGCACAAUAAAUUAAAAUUCUGAAACUCAAAUAAUUGAAGAAAAAACGGUUGAACUUACCAUGCGAUCUCCCAGAGUGGCAAUAGAUUGAGCACCCAAGUUAUGCUUGUAGAUGCCCUUCCCUUUACGGUCGCUCCUGCGGUUGGUGGAGUUGGUGGAAGAAGUUUCUUUCGUCUCUUCUUUAUCCCAAUGCGCACACAACUCCUUCCAGACCGUGUCGUUCAUCGACUUUGGGA